AUGGACGCCCGUGUCUCUUUUCCUUUUCAUUUCCCCCUUUUCGAAAGGGGGGCAGAGAGGGAGCGAAAGGAGGAGGCGCUCGAGCGGCGGAGGGGACGAGGCGAUUUUAGUCUGGUUCAUGGCGGUGGCGAGAUCCCUCUCUCCUCGAGCUUGAGAGUUCUCCCCGAUUCGUUGGGUUGUCCCGUUGAUGAUGAAGAGUUUGAUAAAGCACUUUACAAUUUCUAUGUGAAUAAUAAAGUCAAGUACCUGAAGAGAAAAUUAUCAUCUGCUGGCAGAAGGAAUGUUGUAAGUCUUUCUUCCUCUUCCGUUAAUCAUUGGGUCAUUUGUAUGGUAGCUACACUAUAA
rnacentral:rRNA from 1 species